rnacentral:rRNA from 1 species
AUGAGCUCUGUCUAUUCCUCCGCAUCGAUUUAUUUUCCUCUGCUCCUUGUGGUCGCCCCCUUCAGUUAUGUCUUGCUAGGGUUUCGGUCUUGGUCGUGCUCCUCCUGCUCGCCGGGGCUCCGCGUGCGCGGCCAAGCUGCCGCCGCCGCCGCCGUGCAGCCGGUCGUGCGCGAUGCUCAACUGCGACUCGGUGGGGAUCCGGUACGGCAAGUUCUGCGGCGUGGGGUGGAGCGGGUGCAAGGGGAGGACCCCUACGACGACCUCGAUGCGUGCUGCCGCGAGCACGACAGUUGCCUCGAAAAAAAAGGUACAUCGUCACUCAUCCCCUAG